UAAUACGUAGGGUGCAAGCGUUGUCCGGAAUUAUUGGGCGUAAAGAGCUCGUAGGCGGCUUGUCACGUCGGAUGUGAAAGCUCGGGGCUUAACCCCGAGUCUGCAUUCGAUACGGGCUAGCUAGAGUGUGGUAGGGGAGAUCGGAAUUCCUGGUGUAGCGGUGAAAUGCGCAGAUAUCAGGAGGAACACCGGUGGCGAAGGCGGAUCUCUGGGCCAUUACUGACGCUGAGGAGCGAAAGCGUGGGGAGCGAACAGGAUUAGAUACCCUGGUAGUCCACGCCGUAAACGUUGGGAACUAGGUGUUGGCGACAUUCCACGUCGUCGGUGCCGCAGCU
rnacentral:rRNA from 1 species